rnacentral:rRNA from 1 species
GAUGAACGCUGGCGGUAUGCUUAACACAUGCAAGUCGAACGGACUCUUCGGAGUUAGUGGCGGACGGGUGAGUAACGCGUGAGAAUCUGGCUUUGGGUUCGGGACAACCACUGGAAACGGUGGCUAAUACCGGAUGUGCCGAGAGGUAAAAGAGAAAUUGCCUGAAGAUGAGCUCGCGUCUGAUUAGCUAGUUGGUGAGGUAAAGGCUCACCAAGGCAGCGAUCAGUAGCUGGUCUGAGAGGAUGACCAGCCACACUGGGACUGAGACACGGCCCAGACUCCCACGGGGGGCAGCAGGGGGGAAUUUUCCGCAAUGGGCGAAAGCCUGAAGGAGCAAUACCGGGGGGGGGAAGAAGGCUCUUGGGUUGUAAACCUCUUUUCUUAGGGAAGAACAAAAUGACGGUACCUAAGGAAUCAGCAUCGGCUAACUCCGU